UGCCAGCCGCCGCGGUAAUACGAAGGGACCCAGCGUAGUUCGGAAUUACUGGGCUUAAAGAGUUCGUAGGUGGUUGAAAAAGUUGGUGGUGAAAUCCCAGAGCUUAACUCUGGAACUGCCAUCAAAACUUUUCAGCUAGAGUUUGAUAGAGGAAAGCAGAAUUUCUAGUGUAGAGGUGAAAUUCGUGGAUAUUACACAGAAUACCAAUUGCGAAGGCAGCUUUCUGGAUCAUUACUGACACUGAGGAACGAAAGCAUGGGUAGCGAAGAGGAUUAGAUA
rnacentral:rRNA from 1 species